rfam:Schistosoma mattheei strain Denwood, Zambia genome assembly, scaffold: SMTD_scaffold0002472
GCACUACUGAGGAGCCCCAUAAUAGGACGAAACGGCCGUCCAGUGC